UUAAGCGACUAAGCGUACACGGUGGAUGCCCUGGCAGUCAGAGGCGAUGAAGGACGUGCUAAUCUGCGAUAAGCGUCGGUAAGGUGAUAUGAACCGUUAUAACCGGCGAUUUCCGAAUGGGGAAACCCAGUGUGUUUCGACACACUAUCAUUAACUGAAUCCAUAGGUUAAUGAGGCGAACCGGGGGAACUGAAACAUCUAAGUACCCCGAGGAAAAGAAAUCAACCGAGAUUCCCCCAGUAGCGGCGAGCGAACGGGGAGCAGCCCAGAGCCUGAAUCAGUGUGUGUGUUAGUGGAAGCGUCUGGAAAGGCGCGCGAUACAGGGUGACAGCCCCGUACACAAAAAUGCACAUGCUGUGAGCUCGAUGAGUAGGGCGGGACACGUGGUAUCCUGUCUGAAUAUGGGGGGACCAUCCUCCAAGGCUAAAUACUCCUGACUGACCGAUAGUGAACCAGUACCGUGAGGGAAAGGCGAAAAGAACCCCGGCGAGGGGAGUAAGAAAAGAACCUGAAACCGUGUACGUACAAGCAGUGGGAGCACAGAGCAAUCUGUGUGACUGCGUACCUUUUGUAUAAUGGGUCAGCGACUUAUAUUCUGUAGCAAGGUUAACCGAAUAGGGGAGCCGAAGGGAAACCGAGUCUUAACUGGGCGUUAAGUUGCAGGGUAUAGACCCGAAACCCGGUGAUCUAGCCAUGGGCAGGUUGAAGGUUGGUAACACUAACUGGAGGACCGAACCGACUAAUGUUGAAAAAUUAGCGGAUGACUUGUGGCUGGGGGUGAAAAGGCCAAUCAAACCGGGAGAUAGCUGGUUCUCCCCGAAAGCUAUUUAGGUAGCGCCUCGUGAAUUCAUCUCCGGGGGUAGAGCACUGUUUCGGCAAGGGGGUCAUCCCGACUUACCAACCCGAUGCAAACUGCGAAUACCGGAGAAUGUUAUCACGGGAGACACACGGCGGGUGCUAACGUCCGUCGUGAAGAGGGAAACAACCCAGACCGCCAGCUAAGGUCCCAAAGUCAUGGUUAAGUGGGAAACGAUGUGGGAAGGCCCAGACAGCCAGGAUGUUGGCUUAGAAGCAGCCAUCAUUUAAAGAAAGCGUAAUAGCUCACUGGUCGAGUCGGCCUGCGCGGAAGAUGUAACGGGGCUAAACCAUGCACCGAAGCUGCGGCAGCGACGCUUAUGCGUUGUUGGGUAGGGGAGCGUUCUGUAAGCCUGCGAAGGUGUGCUGUGAGGCAUGCUGGAGGUAUCAGAAGUGCGAAUGCUGACAUAAGUAACGAUAAAGCGGGUGAAAAGCCCGCUCGCCGGAAGACCAAGGGUUCCUGUCCAACGUUAAUCGGGGCAGGGUGAGUCGACCCCUAAGGCGAGGCCGAAAGGCGUAGUCGAUGGGAAACAGGUUAAUAUUCCUGUACUUGGUGUUACUGCGAAGGGGGGACGGAGAAGGCUAUGUUGGCCGGGCGACGGUUGUCCCGGUUUAAGCGUGUAGGCUGGUUUUCCAGGCAAAUCCGGAAAAUCAAGGCUGAGGCGUGAUGACGAGGCACUACGGUGCUGAAGCAACAAAUGCCCUGCUUCCAGGAAAAGCCUCUAAGCAUCAGGUAACAUCAAAUCGUACCCCAAACCGACACAGGUGGUCAGGUAGAGAAUACCAAGGCGCUUGAGAGAACUCGGGUGAAGGAACUAGGCAAAAUGGUGCCGUAACUUCGGGAGAAGGCACGCUGAUAUGUAGGUGAAGUCCCUCGCUGAUGGAGCUGAAAUCAGUCGAAGAUACCAGCUGGCUGCAACUGUUUAUUAAAAACACAGCACUGUGCAAACACGAAAGUGGACGUAUACGGUGUGACGCCUGCCCGGUGCCGGAAGGUUAAUUGAUGGGGUUAGCGCAAGCGAAGCUCUUGAUCGAAGCCCCGGUAAACGGCGGCCGUAACUAUAACGGUCCUAAGGUAGCGAAAUUCCUUGUCGGGUAAGUUCCGACCUGCACGAAUGGCGUAAUGAUGGCCAGGCUGUCUCCACCCGAGACUCAGUGAAAUUGAACUCGCUGUGAAGAUGCAGUGUACCCGCGGCAAGACGGAAAGACCCCGUGAACCUUUACUAUAGCUUGACACUGAACAUUGAGCCUUGAUGUGUAGGAUAGGUGGGAGGCUUUGAAGUGUGGACGCCAGUCUGCAUGGAGCCGACCUUGAAAUACCACCCUUUAAUGUUUGAUGUUCUAACGUGGACCCGUAAUCCGGGUUGCGGACAGUGUCUGGUGGGUAGUUUGACUGGGGCGGUCUCCUCCUAAAGAGUAACGGAGGAGCACGAAGGUUGGCUAAUCCUGGUCGGACAUCAGGAGGUUAGUGCAAUGGCAUAAGCCAGCUUGACUGCGAGCGUGACGGCGCGAGCAGGUGCGAAAGCAGGUCAUAGUGAUCCGGUGGUUCUGAAUGGAAGGGCCAUCGCUCAACGGAUAAAAGGUACUCCGGGGAUAACAGGCUGAUACCGCCCAAGAGUUCAUAUCGACGGCGGUGUUUGGCACCUCGAUGUCGGCUCAUCACAUCCUGGGGCUGAAGUAGGUCCCAAGGGUAUGGCUGUUCGCCAUUUAAAGUGGUACGCGAGCUGGGUUUAGAACGUCGUGAGACAGUUCGGUCCCUAUCUGCCGUGGGCGCUGGAGAACUGAGGGGGGCUGCUCCUAGUACGAGAGGACCGGAGUGGACGCAUCACUGGUGUUCGGGUUGUCAUGCCAAUGGCACUGCCCGGUAGCUAAAUGCGGAAGAGAUAAGUGCUGAAAGCAUCUAAGCACGAAACUUGCCCCGAGAUGAGUUCUCCCUGACUCCUUGAGAGUCCUGAAGGAACGUUGAAGACGACGACGUUGAUAGGCCGGGUGUGUAAGCGCAGCGAUGCGUUGAGCUAACCGGUACUAAUGAACCGUGAGGCUUAACCUU
rnacentral:rRNA from 1 species